AUCAAUGGUAUGGUUGAAAGGUUACAACAAUCUCAGCAGCAUGUAAGAGAGAAUGUCUAUCGUCUUUUCCAACAAAUCCUUAGCCAGCAGACAUCUUUGUUUUUUAACCACCACAUUGACCAGAUCAUCCUUUGUUGUUUCUAUGGAGUUGCAAAGAUUUCUAAAGUGAACCUAACCUUCAGGGAGAUCAUUUACAAUUACAGGAAGCAACCACAAUGCAAACCACAAGUUUUCGGUAGUGUGUUUGUUGAUUGGUCAUCAGCACACCAUAGUGGGAGGACAGGACAAGAUCACGUUGACAUUAUUACAUUUUACAAUGAAAUAUUCAUUCCNNNGCAAAGCCCUUGCUGGUGGAGGUUGGUUCUGCUGGAACAAUUACAAAAGCCAGCCAGGUUCCUGAAGUCAAUAAUAAUAAAGAUGGUCAAUGUCCAGCAUCACCUAUAGUAUCUCCUUUUCCAAGUCUUCCUGACAUGUCUCCAAAGAAAGUUUCUGCAGCACAUAAUGUGUAUGUCUCUCCAUUGCGGACAUCCAAGGUGGAUGCAUUAAUCUCACAUAGCUCAAAAAGCUAUUAUGCUUGUGUGGGAGAGAGCACUCAUGCAUACCAGAGUCCUUCAAAAGACCUGACUGCUAUCAACAAUCGUUUGAAUAGUAAUAAUAGGAAGAUCAGGGGCACGUUGAAUUUCGAUGAUGUUGAUGUGGGUUUGGUUAGUGAUUCUAUGGUGGCCAACAGCCUCCACCUUCAAAACGGACCUCUGAAAUCUGAGCAACCUGACUCCUAAUUUCAACGGUUGCGUUCAUACCCUUUCUGUAAAUUAUAGUCGUCUACCUAAUUCUUCUUUUAUUUUUGUUAUAUCAUACUCAGAAAUGUAAGACGCAGGGUGUUGUAUGAGCGGUGAGUUAUAGAAUGGCUGCCACCACCCCCCUCGUGUGUUUUGUAAUUUAGUAGUAAGCUUGGAAAUUUACUAUCUCUACUUGUAGUGAAAAUCAUGGUUUCUCUAUAGCACUCACGAGGCCAAAUUGAUGAAAGAUGAGCACCAUUUGUUAAGCAUGAACAAAAA
rnacentral:misc_RNA from 1 species